rnacentral:lncRNA from 1 species
GGAUUCAAGGGGUAAAACCGGGUGCGUCUCACAUGUUUGCCAAAGAAGAACAUCACAUAUAAUGACAAAGUGUAUAGAGAUAAAUGUCACAAACAUCAUUAUUACAUAGCGGAAGUCUUACAAAAAUAAAUGAGAACAAUAAAGCGAACUAAGUAUUAUUCCUUGGCGCCAUAAAGCUGACUGGGAGAGGCCACCUAGAUAAGCUCAUACUCCUCAUUGUAGGCCUCCUCCUCCUGGGCUACCUGCUCUUCACCUGUGGGGGGUUUAUAUAUCGCAAGAGUGAGCUCACAAAAGAUCAUAGCUCAACAAGUUGUGGGGAAUAAUGUGCAUGAACUCAUCAAAGGUGGGAGUUCAUGUGAAGUGUAAGGCAGAUCAACAAAUAAUGGUUAAAGCUGAGCAUUGCUUUUAAUAAGUUGGUCAAAUUUUAUUAGAGUAUAUACCAAUCCAAAGUAAUAGUAGAUCAAAAUUAAUAAUAAACCACACUGCGAUGCUAAUGACCAAUUAAAUUUAAUUCCAUAAGUUACUCAUGUGAGGGUCCGAGCCGCUCAUGACCGUGAGCACGACUGAUAUACCAGUUUUACACUCUGAGGAGGUGGCGUAUCUUUACCGACAAGUCAUGUUAUCCAUCUGCCAAGGGGUCAUGAAUCCCAUACACCUCUACCAUUGAAGCGAGGCAGGGUAACACUAUGAGGCCUUUACAUAGUUCCACUAGCUUCAGAAAACCCGCUACAGUUUCUAGGGAGCACAAUGCAGGAAUUCCACGUCUGACCGCCAUCGCAGCAAAAUCAACCCGAGAACCUCCCUACACCAACCACUCCCCUACUGCCCUUGCCCCUUUAGGGUAAGGUAGUCCCCUACCACCCUUGUGGUAGCACUGUUUUCCAGGGUGGUCGCUCCAUGUUCCAAUUUACAUAAUGAUCUUAUCAUGAAUAGUAAAUAACAAAUUGAUAAUAAAAGCAUGAUCAUGAAUAUUGUGUAUCUUAACACCCAAAACCACAUAAAGCAAUAACAAGUACUACCCAAAAGUUCAGUGGUAAACAAGGUAUAAAGAUAGCCAAACUAGGGUAACCUAUUGGGUCCCAUCAAAAUUAACCUAUGCAGAUCAUAAUGAUUAACAGAAAAAUUAUUGAGUAAAUAUAAGUGAUCAAGGGCACAACUUGCCUUCAACGAGCUCCUGCUUAGUAUUAUCCACCUGCUGAGUCUCUGUGUCCUCAUUCACUUGCCCGUCUAUUCGCAACAAUACAAGCAAACAUGGUACAUGAGAAAUUAACAUCACACCAAACAUGAAGACAUACUGCAUAAUAUUAUUCUACGCAUCGUAACGAGAUCGUAGGUUCGAGUAUCACUAAAUUCGGAGUUACGGUUAUCGAGUUAUGAUUUUCUGAAGUUAUUAAGUGGUUGGUAUAGAGUAUACUAGGUGAGCAAUUUUAAUCUAUGUUUCAUGACUAAACAGAGUUACUCGGUGAUAAACAAUAUUAAUAUAAAAUUAAUGCAACUGGAAUGGGUCAAAAAAGAAUUAAAAUGGAUUUUCUAUGAAUUAAAUAAGUUUCUGAGAUUAUUUUUAAUACAAAAAAUUAUUUUCUACUUCAAUUUAUUAAUUUCGGGAUCUAUUUGGACUGAGGCCACAAAUUCCCGAGAAUACGGGGUUUAAUUUGUAAAAAUCUUGGGCUCGGUUGUAAUUACCCUGUGUGGACUGUGAAAGGCGGGUUGAUAACUAAGAACCCUAGAGGUUCUUAUGUAAAGCCGUUUGGUGAAAACGGUAUGAUGAGAUCUAGGCCGUCCGAUUAGAAAUAUGCGGCCACGAUCAGUCCUACCCGAGAUCAAACCGUUACGUCACGCGAGCCGUUAGAUGCAGGAUCCACGGCCCACGCCAGCGCACCCUCUCUUACCCCCCUUCCCCUCGGAUCAUUAAUCAAUGGUCCAAAUUAUUUGGCUCGAAACAUUACUCUCAUGUGAUCCCGACCAUUCGUCUAAGAUCGACGGCCACCAGCCGUCGCCUAGCUCUCGGCCCCCCGCAUGGCAGCGCCGCCCCCAAUCACGGCGCAAGUCCCACCAGAGUUUUGCGUUACCCCGCUACUGUACCCCGAACUCCGAUCAAGGGCGCUCAUGCGUAGCGAACUAUGUAGCGGACACGAGGGAGGGUUCAUUACCUACGACUAUGCAGUGAAGCGCUCUGCCUGCGGAGAGGUGCGGCCUGUGGUCACCGGUGAGCGAUUCCCCCGACACCAGUCGUCAAUCACGCCCGAGGAUGAGUCACCCACGUUCUGCGUGGUCUGUGCAGCUCCACGGUUCAGCUCCGGAUUCCCAAGUGCCUUUACCAAUGGAUGGCGGCGGCGAGUCCUCUCUCACUCUCGGUGGAUAGGACAUGCGUGGCAGGCGACUCACACACGACGACGACGGCUCUAUGUCUCUCGCUUGUGGCUUAACAGGUAGGUCAUCCGGCACCGAAUUUAUCCCCGUGCCAUCGGUCAAGGAGGGAAGGAAACCGACCAGGAUUCACGUCGCGCGCGACGAUUUCGCACGGUUGUUACGGCUGAGAAGGAAGUACGGACAAGGGGGCCCCACCCACCAGCGAGUAUGCGUCGCAUGGAGAUAACGAAGCG